AGUUUGGAAAUUGAGGAUGAUGCUCUCAAAUAGUAGAUUCUACCCAACCUU
rnacentral:tRNA from 1 species